rnacentral:pre_miRNA from 1 species
UAGGGCACUUACUCCUUUGGCAGUAGCAUAGUAAAUUGUGAAUAUUUUUUUUUUUCUAUUUCACAUAGCUCACUGCCAAAGGAGAAUUGCCCGG